rnacentral:lncRNA from 1 species
AUGUGUUUUCAACCAUGCAUUUCUGGGGCUGUCCAUACUCUCCAUUUCCCCUUGCACCACUCUGCCUGGGUAAAAGCUCACCCUGGACCAGCCAACAACCAGGACCACGGAAAGCUUCCAAGGAACAUGCAAGGCUUUGCGCUGCGAGAAGUGACUUUCAUUUCAAGCUUCCUUCCAGUGUUGGAGGAAGGGGAGAGGCGCGCGCAGCCGCUGGCGGACGGGCCGGGAGCGGCACCGGAGCUGACGGGACGGGGCUGCGGCGCUCUCCGGCCUCUGCCCUCCUUCCUCUCACCGAAAGCUGAGUUUCACCCCCGAAACCGGGACACAGGAGCCUCGCCGCCUUUUUCCACAGAAUCACCAACGUUGGAAGAGACCUGA